UACAGAGGGGGCAAGCGUUGUUCGGAAUUACUGGGCGUAAAGGGCGCGUAGGCGGCCUUCUAAGUCAGACGUGAAAUCCCUCGGCUCAACCGGGGAACUGCGUCUGAGACUGGAGGGCUUGAAUCCGGGAGAGGGAUGUGGAAUUCCAGGUGUAGCGGUGAAAUGCGUAGAUAUCUGGAGGAACACCGGUGGCGAAGGCGGCAUCCUGGACCGGUACUGACGCUGAUGAGCGAAAGCGUGGGGAGCAAACAGG
rnacentral:rRNA from 1 species